UGGCAUAUCCAAAAAGCGGAGGAAAAGAAACUAACAAGGAUUCCCCUAGUAACUGCGAGUGAAGCGGGAAAAGCUCAAAUUUAAAAUCUGGUGGUCUUUGGCCAUCCGAGUUGUAAUCUAGAGAAGUGUUAUCCGCGCUGGACCGUGUACAAGUCCCCUGGAAUGGGGCGUCAUAGAGGGUGAGAAUCCCGUCUUUGACACGGACUACCAGGGCUUUGUGAUGCACUCUCAAAGAGUCGAGUUGUUUGGGAAUGCAGCUCAAAAUGGGUGGUAAAUUCCAUCUAAAGCUAAAUAUUGGCGAGAGACCGAUAGCGAACAAGUACCGUGAGGGAAAGAUGAAAAGAACUUUGGAAAGAGAGUUAAACAGUACGUGAAAUUGUUGAAAGGGAAACGCUUGAAGUCAGUCGCGUCUGCCAGGGAUCAACCUUACUUUUGUGAGGCGUACUUCCUGGUUGAUGGGUCAGCAUCAGUUUUGGUCGCUGGAUAAAGGUCAGAGAAAUGUGGCACCCUCGGGUGUGUUAUAGUCUUUGAUCAGAUACAGUGGCUGGGACUGAGGAACUCAGCGCCGCAAGGCUGUCUUAGGAUGCUGGCAAAAUGGCUUUAAUCGACCCGUCUUGAAACACGGCAAAAAGGAGUCAA
rnacentral:rRNA from 1 species